CCAUCAUCCCUGACAAUUGCUUGUUCUGGGUGGAGAUGAUGGGAGUUGGGAAUCCAGCAAUAUCUGGAGGGCCAUAAUUUGCAGAUGGGGAAAUAAGGUAAGAGUUAAAGAUAACAGUAAUGCAAAACAACGUUAGCAUAGCAUAGCGUAGCACUGAAACAGUCUCCAAGGCCAAUCUUAAUGUGCCACAUAAAUAUUUGUCUCCUGGAUGCUAUAGACUUUUGGCUGUUUAUACAUGGAACUGAAAAAUGAGAUAUCCAUGAAUACACUGGGUGGGGGGGAUAAAGUAAUGGAACACUAAGCAAGAUCACAGCUGCAGUGCUCCUCUCCCAGUCCUCCUGCUGUUGUGCUACCUGGAUAAACCGUGGUUACAUCCAAACCCAGGCUUGUGGUUUGUCUUACAACCUUGAGCCAUAAACCAAGAACAAACCUUGGUAACAGUUUGUGGCUUCUCUGGAGUGAGUGAAACAAACCACAAAUCUGGGUUGGACAUAACACUAAACCAAAUGCAGGUAGCACAGCCGCUUCAAGAAUGGGGAAGAAUGAAACUGCCACAACCUUUGCUUUGCGAACCUGCAAUUUCGUUUGCUCAGGUGAAGCCGUGGUUUGGAUGAGCAUGAUGUGCAAACUAGAUUACAGCUUACAAAAUAAAACACAGGAGAUUCACUGACAUGAUUUACAACAGGCACCUCUUUUUAAAAAAGUAAUUUUGAAAUAGUGAGUCAAGAGUCUUGUGGAUAACUGACUUUAAAGAUGAGUGACUGUAACAUUGUGGUGGAUCCAAAGGAAUGUGGCGGUCUUUGGGACAUCCAUACCUUUUCCCCAUACCAUUUCACCAUCAGUUCUAAUAUUUCUAUUUCUAAAAUGUAUACCUUUAUGACCAAUGGCCAGUGAGCAUUCCCAGGAUGGCUAAGGCACAGCAGUGGCUCAUGUGGUGGGAUGGACCUUCUCUCCCGAUACUGGUGUUGCUGCAGUUCACCUGGGCAGGGGGGAGAGGUGACAAGCUUGGGAAGCACCAAACUGGUGGUGCACUUAAAUAGCCCCAACCUCAUCAUCACCUUGCUCCACCCCAGAUCCUUCAAGAUAAGCUGCAGUGACACCAGUGUAAGAAGGGCAGCUCCACCCCACCACAGUGGUCACUGGUGUCCAGGUGUCCUUUAGAUGCGGGCAGAAGGCCUUGAUGGGAUCACAGAAAGUCCUUUUAACUCUUUGGGAGACCUGGUACCUGUGUUUACCAUUAUUGAUCAUUACCAAUAAUGAUGAUGCAAGAAUGAAUUCUUGCAUAUUGAAUGUGAUGAUAUACUGUUUCUCAGGGCCAAGGCACACUGACUGCUGCCAUCUUUACAUGACUUCCCAUGACAGUGUCUUCAUGUGUUGAGCUUUUUGCCUUCAGAUUUGGGAGCAUCUUCUUAUGGUGAAGAAAAUAAGCUUGUAAUGUCAUGGUGUGGAGAAGCUCCCCUUAUAUACCUGGUGAUCCAAAAUGUAUAGAUGACCUACCAUAUGGAAGUAGCUGUUAUGGAAAAGUAUUCAAAGUUCAACCACCACCACAACAACAACAACUGAUUACUUAUACCCCACCCAUCUGGCCUGGCCUCCCCAACCACUCUGGGUGGCUCCCAACAGAAUAUUAAAAACACAAUAAAACAUCAAACAUUAAAAACUUCCCUAAGUGGCCUGUUUUGUAGACAUUGACCCAUACUUUGUGUUCGAAUGACAUUCAAAUGUCAGCAUCCUCUUGGAGAAAAGGCAGUAUAGAUUUAGAGACUAUGUAACUUAGAAUGUUUUAACUCCCCAAUGCCAGAACAAAGAUUUCCAGAGAGUUAGCUAUAGAAAAGAAACUGCUGCCUGCUAUCUUAUCUGUAUUGACUGUGUAAAUAAGUUGUAUUACUCAACUGCAAAAAGUUCAAUAAAGUAAUCUAAUCAACGAACUCACAGUUUCCUUGGCAACCUGAUUGCUGAGGCAUCAGAGAGAAAAGAGGCAGCAUUCAGGUACGUCUCCAUCAUGUCUGGAUACAGCUUCAGCUGAGAGCCCCCCUUCCUCUACUUGUCAACAGCCAUUGUUGAGGUCAGAAGAAGACUCUCCCUUGUGCUUAGAUCCAGCUCCUUGUUGAGGUCAGAAGAAGAAGAAGAAGAAGAAGAAGAAGAAGAAGAAGAAGACUCUCCCUUGUGCUUAGAUCCAGCUCCAUGACGCAAUGAAUUUCUACCUUUCAGUAGUUGCGAAGGGCUUUGGGGAACAGAAUGUCAAGGCAGUCUAAGCAUGCCAG